AAGAUUGCUUUUGUGCUUAUGGUGAAAUGGUGCCAGAAAAAAAAAAGACUCCUCAAUUUCUAAACCAGAAAACAAUGCUGACAUUGAUGAGAGUUUGGCUCAAGGUCCAAGGUGUUAAAUUUCUUUUGUGUAGAAGAGCAAAUUCCAUUUUCAAUCUAGGGGCUGGUGUAUAAAUUUAUGACUACAUAGUACCAAAGGGACCCCUGCUGAUGUCAACAGGAAGCUUGCAGAAAGAUCAGGGAUUGUAAGCUACUAUGAAUGGUGCCUACAACAAUGGGACUGAUCCAUGCCUGGGGCCGAAAGAUAACACUGUACACUUAAGAAAAUAUUAAACAAUAUUCCUUGUGGACAAAAACUACAGUAACUGCUCAGCAGAGGCACCAAUUCAGCUGGGAGGAAGCUUGCAACAACCCUGUACCAUCAGCAGAAACCUAGGCUGCACCUGCUGUUACCCGGGGUUCUUGCAACCCAAAGCUCUUGAUAACUUUUACUCUGUGCGAGGUGGUGUCAGGAAAUAAAUCAGGGGAGACACGUCCGUCCGACCGAUAGAUGGCUGGCACAAACAGGACGACACAAGAGUGCUUUCACUUAAAGCUAAAUUUUACUUUGUCUCAAGCACUCGCACAUAUCUGCAACAGACACAGUAUGAAGAGCAGAGUUCCAGGGAGCUAGAUAGGACUGAGUCAAGCUACAAUCACUUUUCCAGUCUUCAGAUUGGCUGUUGAGCCUGAUUACAUGACCUCUUAGUAAUGACAGAAGAGAACUUAGACUCAACUCUCCUGAGGAUAAUCUGAGACAGGUCACUGGAGCUGUAAACAGAGCAAGGAAAUGACAAUGAGAUAAAUAGAAGACUAGUACAAGUAUCAAAGGAGCACAACACAUGACUGCAAUUUAUAGAAUAUUUGAAAGUAUUGUAUUCCAAUACUUCAUUCUUCUGACAAAGAUAAGAAAAAAAGAAUAAUUAUGAACCAUGCUUAUGACAAUGUGAAUGGGAAAUGGUAAAAACCUAACUUGUUCUUACUAUAUUUUUAAGAUUCAAUUUCAUAGUGCUCCUUUGAUGAUGUUUCUGAACUUAAUACAAUGUAA